CUGUCUGUCUCUCCCUCCCUCCCUCUUCCCAGCCCAUACACUUACACGUAGGCAUAAAGACCUGCCUUCAAUUCCUGCCUCUAACACGAACUCACUAGGCCCUGGGCAUGUCAUUUAAUCUCUGUGCUCUAGGCACCUCUGGAAGCCAUAGUUUGUUCUCAUGCGGGCCCCUUGGAGAUUCCAGGGCAGGUUUCUGCUGGGUCGGGAAACACUUGGUAAUAAUCAGAGCAAAAGAGGGCUGGCUUCCACCCCCGAGGAAGUCAAUGCUUCACUCCAGGGGCUUCCUGCCCCAGUUUGGGCCUGGCUUAAUGGCUGCUGAGGUAGCUGCCAGUGCUGAGGCUCAUUCUCUGCCUCUAGAGAAAACACAGGCUUGUGAGCAGGGCUGUCCAGGCAACCCAGCAGUGCCAGGCUUGGGCAGGCACCCCUUGCCAGGUGCCAUUGUCUCCAGGAGACACGCCAGCCCAGUCCAACAUCUGCUCUGUGUGUCUGCCUGGCGGUCUUUGGGAAGGGAUGUUUAAUAUUCCUGGGUCAGGGCUGUGGAGGCUGUCAGCACCUUGGCAACCAGGUGCCUAAAGAAAGGAGCCAGGCUGCCCCGUGACCUGGUAUCCAGAAGCUUCUAGGCUGCUCCUGUGCCACCAGGGUGGUUUGGGUCAGAGGAAAAGUUGGAGACACUAUGGUUCUUUGGAGUUUUUUAGAAUGCUGUUUUUACUUCAUUUGAUUCUACUUGUGAGGCAGAGUGCUUUAGCGAGUAGAGAUCUUGCCUCAGAACCAGAAGACCUGCACUCAAGUCUGGCCUCAGACAUUGGAGAGCUGAGUGACCUUGAGCGAGUCACCUCUGACCACUAACUUCCUCUGUACAGUGAGGGGGUGGAUGCACUUAUGAACCUCUGAAAUCAUCUGCCCCCAGCCCUAAGCACCUGAAAUCAUGGGGGUCCUGUUGACAUGGGUUUCCUUGAGUAGUUCCCAGAAGCCUCUGGGAGCCUUUCCCACUUGCCCCAGCCUGGAUAAGAAGGCUUCAUUCCUUCCUCUCUGGAGUGGCUCAUCUGAACGUGGGGCCCUCACUCUAAUCAGACUUAGACCCGUUGGGCUUUGAGCCUGGGUGGCCACUCCGGGGCCCAAUGGGCUGCCACUCAGCCCAGCAGAAUCAGAGCCUCAUAAGGACUUUAGAGAUCCAUGUCAAGCCUCAUGGCCUGACCCAGGGGGGUGGGAUCAGUCACUGGGGACAGAAGGGUGUCUGGAAUCUCCCCCUCCCCAUAAGAGCCAGUUGUGGGCUUGUUUCCAGCACAGCCACAAUGACUUUUGUCCUACAAUACUGGCCCGCUGCCCUUCUCCCCCCGUCCCACCCCAUCCUUUUCCUCCAGUGCACACGUAGACAAUCCAGCAUGCUCCCAAGCAGGGGGCCUUUUGCAGGCAUCUCCCCAGGGCGCAGGCUCCCAGAACCGUGUCAAGAACAAAGAAAGUGUUGUCUACUAUAUCCCUUUCCCCAGAUCUUAUGUGCUAAGACAUGGGGCAAGAGGUCAGAAAGUACCCUAAGAGCCCCUCGAAGGCCAGGCUCAUCAGACAAGCCCAAAUUGUCACAGGCAGGUCAGCUGACUCAGGCUGUGGUCCCUAAAGACUCGUAUAAACUACUGACGAACUCCAGAGAACUUUAUUGCCCCAGGAUCUGCCAAAACGCCCCUCCACGUCCCAAAGGAUAGAAGCCAUAUGGAGCCGCCAUCCAAGCAGUCACAGGUAACCAGAACUGUGGAGGGCCCAUGUGUCAUUGGUUGGGGCCCCUGUUGUCUUGGGAAGCAUCCAACUCAUCUCAAAGCAGCUCCACUGGCCCCAUCUCCAGGCAAGGUAGCCAAGUGGGACUCUGGGGGGCAGGGCAGUGCUACCAAUGAGGCGUCAUGAGGUCAGUGGAAAGACAUGCUGAGUAUAAGUAUAUUACCCAUAGAAAAUUACACAACCCCAAAGCUUUAGAAGAUGUAGCUUCAAAAGGAAGCAUGACUAGCAGAGGAAGGACUCAUCGAACGUCAGGUUGACAGGAAUCCCUGAGUCUGAUGGACUAUGUGCUUGGGCAAAGGUUGAUUGAGGUUCAGCAGCAAUCCUGCAGACUCCCCCAACUGGAUUCCACACCUCGAAUCAGCCAAAGGAACAAAGAAACAUCAGCGUGACAGGUGGAGUGGGAUAGCUACACACAGUUUAGAUGAUUCUAAUUUUGUUGGCAACAUCUAAAGCAUCAUAGUCUCGAACAAGUCGGACACAGGCUUCUCUCCAUCAGGCGGGAUCCGAGUGUCGGCCUGGCCACCUCGAUGUCAUAAACGCCGUACAGCUUCUUCAUCGCCUGCUUGAUCUAAGGCUUGUCGGCCUCGACGUCUACAAUGAAGACAAGCAUGUUGUUGUCCUCGAUCUUCUUCAUAGCAGACUCAGCGGUCAAGGGAAACUGACUCAGGUUUUGGGCUGCCGUCAAAGUCUUGGUAUCUUGGAAGGAGCGCCACCUGGUGGCAACAGGAGGUAACUCCACGCCUCCCAAAUGGUACUAGGGUAGUGUGUCAUGAUCAAUAGGGAGCUGACCUCAGUCUUGGUUAAAAUCUGGGUUCAGAUCUGUCUCUGACACAUUCUGGCUUUGGAACCUGGGGAGAGUCACUUACCAGGCAGUCAAGUCAAGCCAAGCCAACAAGCACUUGUUAAGCACUUUCCACAUGCUGGCUGCUGUACUAGGCACUGGGGGGUAGCCAAAGGAAAAACCAUUCCUGCCCACAAGGAGCUUUCACUCAUAUGGGGGUGGGCCUGCACUGGGAAAGGCCAGAAAGUCCGAAUCCAAACCAGGAGUAGAAGUGAAAGAUGGCUAACCUGGUACCUUCCUCAGAAAUAUGGGCAUGCGUUGUUGAUGGAGUUGUGAACUGAUCUAACCAUUCU